rnacentral:rRNA from 1 species
UACAGAGGUCUCAAGCGUUGUUCGGAUUCAUUGGGCGUAAAGGGUGCGUAGGCGGCGCGGUAAGUCGGGUGUGAAAUCUCGGAGCUUAACUCCGAAACUGCAUUCGAUACUGCCGUGCUUGAGGACUGGAGAGGAGACUGGAAUUUACGGUGUAGCGGUGAAAUGCGUAGAUAUCGUAAGGAAGACCAGUGGCGAAGGCGGGGUCUCUGGACAGUUCCUGACGCUGAGGCGCGAAGACUAGGGUAGCAAACGGG